rnacentral:sRNA from 1 species
AUCUCUAGAAAUCAUUUUAUCAGAGUUCUCUGACUUUUCUAUGAGUUCUCAUCUCUUGUUCAUUUGUUUGAAGACCAAAGAUAGCCUAAGUGAUCCUCACGACAAGAUCGAAUAGAUAAAAAUUCCUCUAUGUUGGAGCUGUUUUAGGCUUUCUAGAGCGAUUUGGUCUUUUGGCAGGUAAGGAAAACUAAUAUUUGCUUUAUUGUGUUAAGAACUAAGAAUUUAUGUUUGUUAGGUUGUGAG